UAUCUCUGUAGAGUCUGCAUAUCAAUAAGCGGAGGAAAAGAAACUAACAAGGAUUCCCUUAGUAACGGCGAGUGAAGCGGGAAGAGCUCAAAUUUGAAAUCUUCAAGGUUUUACCUUGACGAAUUGUAGUUUAAAGAAGUGUUUUCUGUUGAAGUUUCGGUAAAAGUUCUUUGGAAUAGGACAUCAUAGAGGGUGAGAAUCCCGUAUUUGACCGUUAUUUUCAGCUGUGUGAUACACUUUCAAAGAGUCGGAUUGUUUGGGAAUGCAGUCCAAAAUGGGUGGUAAAUUUCAUCUAAAGCUAAAUAUUGGCGAGAGACCGAUAGCGAACAAGUACCGUGAGGGAAAGAUGAAAAGAACUUUGAAAAGAGAGUUAAACAGUACGUGAAAUUGUCAAAAGGGAAGCGUUUGACACCAGUGUUGUUUUCUCGAAAAUCAAUUAAAAAAUGGUUGAUUUUGUGUUGUAUUGACCUUAACAGCUUUCUUCACUCUUUUCCUGUCUUUUUUAAUGCACUUUUCGUUUAACAAGUCAACAUCAGUUUCUUUUGUUGUAAAAGGUCAUUGGAAGGUGGCUUUCUUUUCGGAGAAAGUGUUUAUAGCCUUUGAUCUCUGCAAUCGGAGAGACUGAGGUCUGCAGCGUAGAUCCUUCUGGAUUAGAUACAUUUGUGCUAAGUUAUAACGUUUCAUAGACAACUUGUUGACUAUAUUUAGAUCAUGUAGCUUACUCGCUUAUGCUAAUUUUACCUACGCUUAGGAUGUUGAUCUGUAGUGCGUGCGC
rnacentral:rRNA from 1 species